rnacentral:rRNA from 1 species
GACGAACGCUGGCGGCGUGCCUAACACAUGCAAGUCGAGCGAGUGGAGUUCUUCGGAACAAAGCUAGCGGCGGACGGGUGAGUAACACGUGGGCAACCUGCCUCAUAGAGGGGAAUAGCCUUCCGAAAGGGAGAUUAAUACCGCAUAAGAUUGCAGCUUCGCAUGAAGUAGCAAUUAAAGGAGCAAUCCGCUAUGAGAUGGGCCCGCGGCGCAUUAGCUAGUUGGUGAGGUAACGGCUCACCAAGGCGACGAUGCGUAGCCGACCUGAGAGGGUGAUCGGCCACAUUGGGACUGAGACACGGCCCAGACUCCUACGGGAGGCAGCAGUGGGGAAUAUUGCACAAUGGGGGAAACCCUGAUGCAGCAACGCCGCGUGAGUGAUGACGGCCUUCGGGUUGUAAAGCUCUGUCUUCAGGGACGAUAAUGACGGUAC